GCAGUCGAGCGGACAGAAGGGAGCUUGCUCCCGGAUGUUAGCGGCGGACGGGUGAGUAACACGUGGGUAACCUGCCUGUAAGACUGGGAUAACUCCGGGAAACCGGAGCUAAUACCGGAUAGUUCCUUGAACCGCAUGGUUCAAGGAUGAAAGACGGUUUCGGCUGUCACUUACAGAUGGACCCGCGGCGCAUUAGCUAGUUGGUGAGGUAACGGCUCACCAAGGCGACGAUGCGUAGCCGACCUGAGAGGGUGAUCGGCCACACUGGGACUGAGACACGGCCCAGACUCCUACGGGAGGCAGCAGUAGGGAAUCUUCCGCAAUGGACGAAAGUCUGACGGAGCAACGCCGCGUGAGUGAUGAAGGUUUUCGGAUCGUAAAGCUCUGUUGUUAGGGAAGAACAAGUGCAAGAGUAACUGCUUGCACCUUGACGGUACCUAACCAGAAAGCCACGGCUAACUACGUGCCAGCAGCCGCGGUAAUACGUAGGUGGCAAGCGUUGUCCGGAAUUAUUGGGCGUAAAGGGCUCGCAGGCGGUUUCUUAAGUCUGAUGUGAAAGCCCCCGGCUCAACCGGGGAGGGUCAUU
rnacentral:rRNA from 1 species